GUGAGCUUGCGCGGCUGGGGCUCGGACGCCCAGGUGUUUAUCACCUCCGGGUCUUCACUCGGAGAAUGCGUUGCAGAUCCCGGGAUGCGCUGGAGGGUCGGUGUGGGGAAAAAUGUCUCAGCAAAAGUACUUUAAUUCAUGCAAUAAUUAUUUAUUGAACGCUUUUCUGCGUCAGAAAGGUGAUUUUAUUCAAGGAGAGAAAAGAGAAAAAAGAAGAGAGAAAACUUCCACGAAGAGUGUGGAAGGGAAAUCCAGGAGGGGGAAAGAGAGCUCCUACUAUGUGGGAGGGGAUUCCAGACAGCUGGAAAUCCCCAGCCUGUCUCCCCCCCCCCAAAAAAAAAGCUUGGAUCUACGAAGGGUCUGGCAGAAAUGGUUCCCUUUGGGAAAAUGACUAACUCUGUGCUUCUGGCCACAGAAUAGUCCUUGACUCUCUGAUCCUUCUCAUACCGGAUAGCUGACCUAGAAAUCCUGUUGGUUUUUCCUGCAAGUAUAUCCAUAUCUUCCUCUAGCCCAUUUGGUUCAAGCCACCAUCACCUUCAGACUGGACUGUUGCAGUAGCACACUCCCUGGCCUCCUGGCUUCCAGCUGCCUUCUGCAAUAUGCCCACCCCGCCAGAGGAAUACUGGUCUGACUCUUAGUCUAAAGCCAAUGUCCUAAUAAAUGAUCUACAUAA